UACGUAGGUGGGAAGCGUUGUCCGGAAUUAUUGGGCGUAAAGCGCGCGCAGGCGGCCUCUUAAGUCUGAUGUGAAAGCCCCCGGCUCAACCGGGGAGGGCCAUUGGAAACUGGGAGGCUUGAGUAUAGGAGAGAAGAGUGGAAUUCCACGUGUAGCGGUGAAAUGCGUAGAGAUGUGGAGGAACAACAGAGGCGAAGGCGACUCUUUGGCCUAUAACUGACGCUGAGGCGCGAAAGCGUCGGGAGCAAACAGG
rnacentral:rRNA from 1 species